rnacentral:rRNA from 1 species
AUACGUAGGGUGCGAGCGUUGUCCGGAAUUACUGGGCGUAAAGAGCUCGUAGGUGGUUUGUCGCGUCGUCUGUGAAAUUCCGGGGCUUAACUCCGGGCGUGCAGGCGAUACGGGCAUAACUUGAGUACUGUAGGGGAGACUGGAAUUCCUGGUGUAGAGGUGAAAUGCGCAGAUAUCAGGAGGAACACCGGUGGCGAAGGCGGGUCUCUGGGCAUUAACUGACGCUGAGGAGCGAAAGCAUGGGUAGCGAACAGGAUUAGAUACCCUGGUAGUCCAUGCCGUAAACGGUGGGCGCUAGGUGUAGGGGUCUUCCACGACUUCUGUGCCGUAGCUAACGCAUUAAGCGCCCCGCCUGGGGAGUACGGCCGCAAGGCUAAAACUCAAAGGAAUCGACGGGG